rnacentral:misc_RNA from 1 species
AGCAGCCGCGGUAAUUCCAGCUCCAAUAGCGUAUAUUAAAGUUGUUGCAGUUAAAAAGCUCGUAGUUGAAUUUCGGGAUCAAUACGUCGGUCGUGCUUCGGUACGUACUGGCGUAAUUGAUUUCUCCCUUCUGACGAACCAUGAUGUCAUUAACUUGGUGUCAUGGGAAAUCAGGACUGUUACUUUGAAAAAAUUAGAGUGUUUAAAGCAGGCUCACGCUUGAAUACAUUAGCAUGGAAUAAUGAAAUAGGACGUUCGAUCCUAUUUUGUUGGUUUUUAGGAUCAACGUAAUGAUUAAUAGGGAUAGUUGGGGGCAUUAGUAUUCAAUUGUCAGAGGUGAAAUUCUUGGAUUUAUUGAAGACUAACUACUGCGAAAGCAUUUGCCAAGGAUGUUUUCAUUAAUCAAGAACGAAAGUUAGGGGAUCGAAGACGAUCAGAUACCGUCGUAGUCUUAACCAUAAACUAUGCCGACUAGGGAUCGGAUGAU